rnacentral:piRNA from 1 species
GAGGUUUUGGUGCUAUUGU